rnacentral:lncRNA from 1 species
UUGCUGCCGGGGACAGGGACAAGCCGGCCGCUGGGGGAGAGGGAGGAGGAAUCGACCACCGGGGGAGAGGGAGGUACCGUGCCGCAGGGGGAGAGGGAGGAAGGGCUGGCCGCUGGAGGAGAGGGAGGUGCCGCGCCAUCGGGGGAGGGGGAGGAGGAGCUGGCCGCUGGGGGGGAUGAAGGUGUUGUGCCGUCGGGGGAGAGGGAGGAGGAACUGGCCUAGUGCCGGAGUGCCUACUGCCAUGCCCUCCUGUCGCCCUUGGAAGAUUUAGAAGAUGGUCGGAGUAAUGGACAAGGAGAGACGGAGAGGAAAGGGAUAGGAGGGGAGGGAUCUAGGAAUAGAAGGUUUAGACCAAUGGGAGAACUCGAUUUUGGAGACAUGGAUCGCUGGCGUGGCGGAACGUGUUUCUUUCGUAACCUUAUAAUGAAGUUUUGGGCUGCUAAACGAUUUUAAAUGAAAUAUUUGUCAACUAUAAAAUUUUAUAUCUCAUUAAGCACUACAACUUUGAUAUAAAGAUUGUUUGC